GACGAACGCUGGCGGCGUGCUUAACACAUGCAAGUCGAACGGACCCUUUGGGGUUAGUGGCGAACGGGUGAGUAACACGUGGGUGAUCUGCCCUGCACUUUGGGAUAAGCCUGGGAAACUGGGUCUAAUACCGGAUAGGACUACGCACUGCAUGGUGUGUGGUGGAAAGCUUUUGCGGUGUGGGAUGGGCCCGCGGCCUAUCAGCUUGUUGGUGGGGUGAUGGCCUACCAAGGCGACGACGGGUAGCCGGCCUGAGAGGGUGACCGGCCACACUGGGACUGAGAUACGGCCCAGACUCCUACGGGAGGCAGCAGUGGGGAAUAUUGCACAAUGGGCGCAAGCCUGAUGCAGCGACGCCGCGUGAGGGAUGACGGCCUUCGGGUUGUAAACCUCUUUCGCCAGGGACGAAGCGCAAGUGACGGUACCUGGAGAAGAAGGACCGGCCAACUACGUGCCAGCAGCCGCGGUAAUACGUAGGGUCCGAGCGUUGUCCGGAAUUACUGGGCGUAAAGAGCUCGUAGGUGGUUUGUCGCGUUGUUCGUGAAAACUCACAGCUUAACUGUGGGCGUGCGGGCGAUACGGGCAGACUGGAGUACUGCAGGGGAGACUGGAAUUCCUGGUGUAGCGGUGGAAUGCGCAGAUAUCAGGAGGAACACCGGUGGCGAAGGCGGGUCUCUGGGCAGUAACUGACGCUGAGGAGCGAAAGCGUGGGGAGCGAACAGGAUUAGAUACCCUGGUAGUCCACGCCGUAAACGGUGGGUACUAGGUGUGGGUUUCCUUCCUUGGGAUCCGUGCCGUAGCUAACGCAUUAAGUACCCCGCCUGGGGAGUACGGCCGCAAGGCUAAAACUCAAAGGAAUUGACGGGGGCCCGCACAAGCGGCGGAGCAUGUGGAUUAAUUCGAUGCAACGCGAAGAACCUUACCUGGGUUUGACAUGCACAGGACGCCGGCAGAGAUGUCGGUUCCCUUGUGGCCUGUGUGCAGGUGGUGCAUGGCUGUCGUCAGCUCGUGUCGUGAGAUGUUGGGUUAAGUCCCGCAGCGAGCGCAACCCUUGUCUCAUGUUGCCAGCACGUUAUGGUGGGGACUCGUGAGAGACUGCCGGGGUCAACUCGGAGGAAGGUGGGGAUGACGUCAAGUCAUCAUGCCCCUUAUGUCCAGGGCUUCACACAUGCUACAAUGGCCGGUACAAAGGGCUGCGAUGCCGUGAGGUGGAGCGAAUCCUUUCAAAGCCGGUCUCAGUUCGGAUCGGGGUCUGCAACUCGACCCCGUGAAGUCGGAGUCGCUAGUAAUCGCAGAUCAGCAACGCUGCGGUGAAUACGUUCCCGGGCCU
rnacentral:rRNA from 1 species